rnacentral:rRNA from 1 species
GACGAACCGUCCAAACGUUAUUCGGAAUUACUGGGCUUAAAGGGUGCGUAGGCGGCCUGACAAGUUGGGUGUGAAAUACCUCGGCUCAACCGAGGAAUGGCGCUCAAAACUGUAAGGCUUGAGGAAGAUAGAGGUGAGCGGAACUUAAGGUGGAGCGGUGAAAUGCGUUGAUAUCUUAAGGAACACCCGUGGCGAAAGCGGCUCACUGGAUCUUUUCUGACGCUGAUGCACGAAAGCUAGGGGAGCAAACGGG